AUUGAACGCUGGCGGCAUGCCUUACACAUGCAAGUCGAACGGCAGCAUGAUCUAGCUUGCUAGAUUGAUGGCGAGUGGCGAACGGGUGAGUAAUACAUCGGAACGUGCCCUGUAGUGGGGGAUAACUAGUCGAAAGAUUAGCUAAUACCGCAUACGACCUGAGGGUGAAAGUGGGGGACCGCAAGGCCUCAUGCUAUAGGAGCGGCCGAUGUCUGAUUAGCUAGUUGGUGAGGUAAAGGCUCACCAAGGCGACGAUCAGUAGCUGGUCUGAGAGGACGAUCAGCCACACUGGGACUGAGACACGGCCCAGACUCCUACGGGAGGCAGCAGUGGGGAAUUUUGGAUAAUGGGCGAAAGCCUGAUCCAGCAAUGCCGCGUGUGUGAAGAAGGCCUUCGGGUUGUAAAGCACUUUUGUCCGGAAAGAAAUGGCUCCGGUUAAUACCUGGGGUCGAUGACGGUACCGGAAGAAUAAGGACCGGCUAACUACGUG
rnacentral:rRNA from 1 species